GGAAGUUCCCAGCUGACUUUAAAGAGCUGAGUUGUGAUUCUCCCUGCUGUCCUCCACAGUUCAAACUAUUGUAAACAGGAGUACAAUAAAUGCUUAUGUUAAAACAUGAAGGUACAGGACUGAAGAGAUGGCUCAGAGGUUAAGAAGUGCUGACUGUUCUUCCAGAUAUAUGAGUUCAAUUCUCAGCAAUCACCUGGUGGCUCACAACCAUCUAUAAUGAGAUCUGGUGACCUCUUCUGGCCUGUAGGCAUACAUGCAGACAGGAGGCUGGCAUAACUGUCUUCUGAGAAGCUUCAUCUGAUGAAAAAAGAUACAGAGACCCACAGCCAAAGAAUAGGCCAAGCUCAGGGAGUUCUGUGGAAGAGUGGACUGAAGGACAGAGGGAGCUGGAGGGGUCAAGGACACUACAAGAAGACCUACAGAGUAAACUGACCUGGGCUCAUGGAGGCUCACAGAGACUGAACCA